UGGAAUGAUGGAGGGAAGAGUGAGGUAACUCAUAAUCCAAAGUAUGUUCAUUUUUCAAAUUUCAUUUACUUUUUAUUAAUCAAGGUAACUAGAGGAAUUGUGAUUUAAGUUUCAUAAUUGAAUUAGAAGCAUAUAUAAAAUGAUGGACGACCAAUGAAUAUAUAAAAAGAAAAUGCAAUUAUUUUUUUAAUUAGAUAUAAAUAAGACAUAAGGCUGAUUAGAAUCAAAGUCCUAAAUGACACAGCCUGGACUGGAAAUAAAUAACGAAGCUAGGGGAGGGACUCUCCAACUCAACUUAGAGACUAGCGCUAAAUAUCUACGGCCCGACAUUAUUAGGCAUUGCUCAAUGGGUUGUUGUUGUUGCUGAUGUUUGUUGCGAGCGAAACUGUCAAUCUACCAUCUUCAACCAUGUCUUGUAGGGCAUGCUUCAAAUUCCAGCAUUGCGAUGUCAUAUGCCCGUUUCCUUGGCGUUACUUGCAGUAGGCAUUGGGAUUCCACUUUCUGGAUCUACUCUCAGGAGCAGGGUGUAAUAGCCCAUAUUUUUAAGUGAGUUUCAUUAAAAGAUAAUUAUAUUUUAUUUACCUUAAUUCUAUGUUAAACUAUAGUAAAACAUCUUUGAAAAGGUGAAUUUUAAUGUCUAAAUAGAAUUUGGGUUUAAGUUAUAUUUUGAAAAAAAAAACAAGAAAAAGAAAACCCAUUUCAUUCUUGUCUUUCGUGGCUUAACAAGGAGUAGACACCAAUGUGUUUACUUGUCAAGUUUUUAUGUCUUCUUUGAUAAAAUUAAAACCAACUCCUUCACUCACCAACCAUUCUUCACCAUUCCUCCAUUUUCUCUCAAUCUCAAUCCUCCCCAUCAGCGUCACCUCCGUUUCUCUCUCUUCGAAACCCAUUUCUUCGCGAUCCAGCGAUGCUGCCACCACCGGUGCUACUUUUGUUGGUUGUUCUUUAAGUCCAAUUUUCUCUCUCCUUUGCUCUGUUCGUGUCCUUAUUGUGUCUCACCGGACUCUUGUGCAUGUUGCUGGUUUUGUUUUUUUGUUGUUGUGUGUCGGUGCUGCUGCUAAUUGCGAUUACCGUCGUGACGCGGUGCAUCACUACUCCUUUUUAUUCUUCUCUCCUCUGCUUCGUGGAUGUUGCUGUCACGAGCUUUUGUUGGUGUUGCCAUAGCUUGGUCGAAGCUGUUGCCGCCGUGAUGAGCCAGCAUUGCGUUGCUUUAUUAUUGCUCCAUUUCUUUUUUGUUCGUUAAAGAAACCCACAUCAGUUAUUGCCACUCUUAUCAAGGUGUAUCUAUGUAAGUUCUGUAUUCUCUCUUUUUUACUUUCAAAAUUAGUAUCAGUACACUUGUUUGAAUCUUCAAAUCAAAUUUUGCAUCUUGGGCAUAAUAUCAUAAUAGGACUUAAAUAGUUGUUUUGAUAUUGGAAGUAAAGAUUGAAACUUUUUUUUGUUGAAGUGAUUAGAAAUGGUUUUGGAGCUUAUAACCUUUAGUAAGCUUGACGAAUUAAAAUUUUCAAUUUAUGAUCCUUAUAAUUCAAAUCCAAUUUAUAGUUUCUUAUUUGCAACUCGGUGUGGUAAUUUUCAAAAUGGGAGUAAUUAGAGUUGGAGAUUGUUUAUGUGAGUUAGAUUAGAAGAAUGCUAUGUAUAUAAGGGUUUGUAAUGAGUUCGUAAAAGAGUUUAGAAAGUAUGAGCAAGUCAAUUCAUAUAUCUGAAUUGUAGUGAGAAUGAAUAUUAAUUAUUACUAUUGUUGAGGUGAAUUAUUGUGGAGUUCAAGCCAGAGUUGGUGAUCGAGUAUCUAAGAUCUUGGAGGUUAUUAAUGGAGAAUUAGUUUGCAAUUGAGGUGUAUGUUCGGGUUUCGGAAUGAAUCAAGAGAAAGAGGUUUUAGUUAAGAGAUGGAAAUUAAAUUAGUGAUUCGAAGUUAUAUUUAGAAUAUAAGUUGUUGAAUAUUAAGUUCUCAUUUGAUGUUUUAAGUCACUAGUAGAAUAAAUGUUAUUUGCUGCGCUGAUAUUGCUGCGGUUUUACCUAUACGCAGCAAUAUAACACGCAAAAAGAAAUAAAAAAUAGAAAAUGACAAUAUUGUUGCGGUUCCCGCCAAAAACCGCAGCAAUAUUGUUCAACGGAUAAAUUUUGAAAAACAUGUGGGGCCCAUAACAGCUAAUAUUGUUGCGGUUUCCACGUAGGACCGCAGCAAUAUAUUAAAAAACUAUUUUUUUAAUAUAUUGCUGCGGUCCUACGUGGCAACCGCAACAAUAUUAGCUGUAUAUGUUGUUUUAAAUAUAUUUCGGCCCAGUUAGGGUUUGUUUCCCUCUCUCCCUCUCAUUACCUGUCCUCAGCCGUUUCUCCUCAUUCUCCCCCUCUCUCUCUCCUCACUAGGGUUUUCGCCCUCUUUCCUCUUUCUCUUCGGUCGCCCUCUCUCUCUCCUCUUCGGCACUGCUUGCGCCCUUUGUCUCCUUAAACCGUCUUCUCUCCUCUCUAUCGUUCUCUCUCGUCGCCUUCAAAGCAACUAUCGGUCCAUUCUUGUUUUUACUGUAUAAUUCUUCCCCGAGUUCUGGGUUUGAAGCAUCGUGUUCGUUCCAAGCAGACCGACGAAGGUGCGUGCAUGGUCUUCUCUCUCGUCGCCUUAAACCGUCUUCUCUCCUCUCUAUAUGUGCGUGGUCGUUCGAAGCAGACCAACGAAGGUGGUGCGUGCGAGCGAGGGUGUGAAGGCGAGCAUCGUGUUCGAGUGCUGGGCGAGCGAGCGUCGUUCGUGGCUCGUGGUCGUCGGCCUUCGUCGUUCGUGGCUCGCUGGAUUUCGCCGGCCUUUGUCGCUCGUGAAGCGCGCCGCCACCAUGGAUGAGAAGCAAAGGUCAUGCUGUUCAGUUUUAUCAGAUGGCUUGGGUUGAAAAGCUUGGUUUGCGUCAAAGUCGUUCACACUUUUCUUUUUUGUUUUUUUUUUGUUAAUUAUCUGUAAUUCAGUAAUUGUAUUUGUUUUUAGAUCUGUAAUUCAGUAAUUGUAAAAUAUUGCGUGAGUUAAAAUAUUCAUAAACUUUCUCUUGAA